UACGGAGGGUGCAAACGUUGCUCGGAAUCAUUGGGCGUAAAGCGAACGUAGGCGGCUAUGUAAGUCGGGUGUGAAAGCCCUCGGCUCAACCGAGGAAGUGCAUUCGAAACUGCAUGGCUUGAGUAUCGGAGAGGAUAGCGGAAUUCCCGGUGUAGAGGUGAAAUUCGUAGAUAUCGGGAGGAACACCAGUGGCGAAGGCGGCGAUCUGGGAAGAUACUGACGCUGAGGUGCGAAAGCGUGGGGAGCAAACAGG
rnacentral:rRNA from 1 species